UCCCUGGUAGCUCAGAGGGUAAAGAACCUGCCUACAGUGCAGGAGACCUAGGUUCGAUUCCUGGGUUAGGAG
rnacentral:tRNA from 1 species